CGGGGCGCUCUGCGGGGCGCGGAGACUGCGCGGCCCUGGCGAUCGGCGGCGCCUCCGCCUCCACCUCGGGCUCCGGCUCGGCUCGGCGGCGGCCGCGGCUGCCUGCGCGAGAUCAACAAGUCGGGCUGAGCUUCGGCUCCGCGCUCGCUGCGAUUCUGUCCCGCACUUCGGAGCGCGGCGAGUGGCACCGAGGCGGGACGGCGCCACCUGCGGGUCGGAAGCGCGCGCGGCUUAACCCCUCCGUGCCCGGCCCGGCCCUGGCCCAGGCCGCGGGGCCCAUCCGGGCGGGCUGUCUGCGUCCCGGCUCCCACGAGGCUGAGCGCCUACUGCAUGCAGGCUCUGCGCGUAGAUACAGCUGCGAGGACAACCAGCCUCCUGGGCGCGGGGCUGCCGGGAGAGCGACUGUAAACACAAGUUCUUAAAUCGAAUUCUAGGUUCUAGAGGAAGGUGGGCAGUUUGUCUAUCAACAAACAAGCAUGCGGAACGAGUAGGCAGGUGGGUGGUUGGGGCUGAGGAGAAGCAUAAGGCCAGGUGAGGGGCCGCGAAGACUCAGAGCUUAUACAGCCUGAUCACUCACUCACCCAUUCAUGCCAGCUUGGAGGGCUGCUUCUGUAGAGCUAAGCGUCAGGCUCAACCAAGGGAUCCACCGCCCCUGCCUCACUCUGUGUAGUGGGGCGGGCACCCUCUAUCAGAGGCCAUCUCGGAGUGACUGUAGGGUGGGAAGGUUUGCAAGCAGAAGGGCCCGGCUUCCCUCCAAUCGUUCACACUUGGGCCCUGCCUGGUCUUUGCUGGUUUGUUCUCUCACAUACAUAGCUGUUGUGUGGUAUUAAGGUGUCAGAGAUGCAGAAGAGAGCCGUGCCCUGGAGAGGGAAAACUUAAUGAGACUUAGUGCCCCAAGAUACGGCCCUUCUCCUUUCCACUCUUGGCCUCGUUCCCAACUGCAUCACACAGAACUGUUGGUAGAAACCUAUCCACUCUCCUCAGUUCCAUCAUCAUGACGCAGCCCAAGCUGCCACUGCCUUCUCUCCCUGUGACCUCUGCUCUGAGCUCCCCCAUCCCUCUCUGCCUCCCACAGGUCAUGAUGAUAGCCACGGCUGUCAGAAUGAAUGUUCCCUUUGCUGAACUGAAUGUGGUUGUCACUGGAGCCUUCCCAGGGUUUUUCCUUGCUUUGGCCUGAUAGAUCUGGUUCAGUCCCUCCCUCUUCUUCUCAGCUUGCCCACCAUGGAAGCAAGACAAGCAGCUAAACGUAUUUUUAUUUAUUUAUUUUUAAUGAGAAGGUUUCAGCCAAUCAUGAGUGCUAACAGGAAAUCGCGAGUUCAGUGAUGGGGAGGGGCGGGCUAUACUGAGAGCUUUACCCGGUGGUCAGGGAGGGCUUCUCAGAGGUGGAAGACAGACUCCACAGGUAAGAAGGGAGUCAGCUAUGGGGAGAUAAGAGGAGUUCCAGGCAAAGUGUGUCCAGGUUAGAGGUCAAGGGCAAAUGAGGAACAGCCACUCCCUGGCCACAACAAAAUUAGCACAGAAAAUACAAGACUUGCUUUCCUUCCCUAUUGUGCUGUGCAUGCGUGUGUGCCGUGCGUGUGUGCGUGCAUGUGUGUGUGUGUGUGUGUGUGUGUGUGUGUGUGUACUUGCCACAAAUUAAAAUGCAGGUAGCCUCACUUGAGGAAUUGUCUUAAUUUUCUUAAUUGGUGUGGGAGGACCUACCCAACAUCGACUGGUAGGAGACCAGAUUAAAGGGUGUGGAGGAAGGAAGAUACCAGCCUUUUGUUGGCUUGGCCUUGCCUCUUGCUGUAGAGUUGAUUGACGCUGCUGCUGCUGCUGCUCAUGAUGACGAGGAUGAUGAUUUCUUCACUGGUAUCAGAACCAGUGAUUUCAGGCGUCCAUCAUGAACUAAGGACCUUCAAGUCUCCAGGAACCUCCAGAUUUUUGGUGCCGGCUUGGGACUGCUGAGACACCUCAAGGACCAAGAAACUACCAGAUUCUCAGCCUCAUGCUAUUGGGGCUAUAUUCAGAGCCACUGCUCUCUCAAAACAUGUCUGCUGGGGCGUCAGCCCAGCAUCUUGACAGGAGGAGCUGAGAUCCACCCAUGCUACUUCCUCUGACGGUGCUGGCAAGAGGAUCCUCUGUUCGAAAUCUGGCCUCUGGAUUCCAUGAUACCAUCCAUCAUUUAUGUCCCACUGGGCAGCCUGCUCGGGUUUCUUGGAGUUUCUGGGUAGAGUAAGGCUACUUAAUACCAUACUCCCCUGCCCCCUACCCUGUACUGGCUGGUUUUGUGUGUCAACUUGACACAAGCUAGAGUCAUCAGAGAGGAAGGAGCCUCAGUUGAGGGAAUGUUUCCAUGAGAUCCAACUCUCAGACAUUUUCUCAAUUUGUGAUCAGUGCGGGAGGGCCCAGACUGUUGUG